rnacentral:rRNA from 1 species
UCUACGGGAGGCAGCAGUGAGGAAUAUUGGUCAAUGGGCGGGAGCCUGAACCAGCCAAGCCGCGUGAGGGCAGAAGGUACAGCGUAUCGUAAACCUCUUUUGUCAGGGAACAAAGGCGGGGACUAGUCCCCGGAUGAGGGUACCUGAAGAAAAAGCAUCGGCUAACUCCGUGCCAGCAGCCGCGGUAAUACGGAGGAUGCGAGCGUUAUCCGGAUUGAUUGGGUUUAAAGGGUGCGUAGGCGGGCUGUUAAGUCAGCGGUAAAAGCCCGGGGCUCAACCCCGGCGAGCCGUUGAAACUGGCUGUCUUGAGAUGUCGAGAGGUAUGCGGAAUGCGCAGUGUAGCGGUGAAAUGCUUAGAUAUUGCGCAGAACUCCGAUUGCGAAGGCAGCAUACCGGCGGCGAUCUGACGCUGAGGCACGAAAGCGUGGGUAUCGAACAGGAUUAGAUACCCCUGUAGUC